rnacentral:rRNA from 1 species
GACGAACGCUGGCGGCGUGCCUAAUACAUGCAAGUAGAACGCACAGUUUAUACCGUAGCUUGCUACACCAUAAACUGUGAGUUGCGAACGGGUGAGUAACGCGUAGGUAACCUGCCUGGUAGCGGGGGAUAACUAUUGGAAACGAUAGCUAAUACCGCAUAAUAUUGAUUAUUGCAUGAUAAUUGAUUGAAAGAUGCUAUUGCAUCACUACCAGAUGGACCUGCGUUGUAUUAGCUAGUAGGUGAGGUAACGGCUCACCUAGGCGACGAUACAUAGCCGACCUGAGAGGGUGGUCGGCCACACUGGGACUGAGACACGGCCCAGACUCCUACGGGAGGCAGCAGUAGGGAAUCUUCGGCAAUGGACGAAAGUCUGACCGAGCAACGCCGCGUGAGUGAAGAAGGGUUUCGGAUCGUAAAGCUCUGUUGUAAGAGAAGAACGGGUGUGAGAGUGGAAAGUUCACACUGUGACGGUAUCUUAACAGAAAGGGACGGCUAACUACGUG